rnacentral:misc_RNA from 1 species
AGAUUUCAACCUCUUUUCUUGUUUAAAGAAAUCUGGAUUGGACCUUUGGAAGCUGCUGGACUUGACCUAUUUCAGCUCUUCUCAAAUACAUUAGCGGGAUUGCCUCUUGACAAUUCUUUGGUGUGAUAAUUAUCUAUACCUAUCGGAAUGUCUGGAACUUAUGGCAUCGUGCUUCUAAUUGUCUGCAAAGACAAUUAUUUGAACAA